AUUGAACGCUGGCGGCAUGCCUUACACAUGCAAGUCGAACGGUAGAGGGGCAACCCUCGAGAGUGGCGAACGGGUGAGUAAUGCAUCGGAACGUGCCCGGGAGUGGGGGAUAGCUCGGCGAAAGCCGGAUUAAUACCGCAUACGACCUGAGGGUGAAAGCGGGGGAUCGCAAGACCUCGCGCUAUUGGAGCGGCCGAUGUCAGAUUAGGUAGUUGGUGGGGUAAAGGCCUACCAAGCCGACGAUCUGUAGCUGGUCUGAGAGGACGACCAGCCACACUGGGACUGAGACACGGCCCAGACUCCUACGGGAGGCAGCAGUGGGGAAUUUUGGACAAUGGACGAAAGUCUGAUCCAGCCAUGCCGCGUGCAGGAAGAAGGCCUUCGGGUUGUAAACUGCUUUUGUCAGGGAAGAAAUCUUCUGGGCCAAUAUCCCGGGAGGAUGACGGUACCUGAAGAAUAAGCACCGGCUAACUACGUGCCAGCCGCCGCCGUAAUAC
rnacentral:rRNA from 1 species